AUUGAACGCUGGCGGCAUGCUUUACACAUGCAAGUCGAACGGCAGCGCGGGCUUCGGCCUGGCGGCGAGUGGCGAACGGGUGAGUAAUGCAUCGGAACGUGCCCAGUAGUGGGGGAUAGCCCGGCGAAAGCCGGAUUAAUACCGCAUACGACCUGAGGGUGAAAGCGGGGGACCGAAAGGCCUCGCGCUCUUGGAGCGGCCGAUGUCGGAUUAGCUAGUUGGUGGGGUAAAGGCUUACCAAGGCGACGAUCCGUAGCUGGUCUGAGAGGACGACCAGCCACACGGGGACUGAGACACGGCCCAGACUCCUACGGGAGGCAGCAGUGGGGAAUUUUGGACAAUGGGGGCAAACCUGAUCCAGCCAUGCCGCGUGCGGGAAGAAGGCCUUCGGGUUGUAAACCGCUUUUGUUCGGGAAGAAAUCCUCUGGGCUAAUACCCCGGGGGGAUGACGGUACCGGAAGAAUAAGCACCGGCUAACUACGUG
rnacentral:rRNA from 1 species